rnacentral:rRNA from 1 species
GAUGAACGCUGACAGAAUGCUUAACACAUGCAAGUCGAUGGGGAAGUGGUGCUUGCACCAUGGCAACCAUGGCGGACGGGUGAGUAACGCGUAAGGGACUUACCUGCAGGACUGGGAUAACAGGGGGAAACUCCUGACAAGACCGGAUAAUGUCAUGGAGCUGCAUGGCUUUAUGAUGAAAGGAGACGCCUGCGGAGAGCCUUGCGUCCUAUUAGCUAGUUGGUGAGGUAAUGGCUCACCAAGACGAAGAUAGGUAGCCGGCCUGAGAGGGUGGACGGCCACAAGGGGACUGAGAUACGGCCCUUACUCCUACGGGAGGCAGCAGUGGGGAAUAUUGGACAAUGGGGGCAGCCCUGAUCCAGCAAUUCUGUGUGCACGAAGAAGGUUUUCGGAUUGUAAAGUGCUUUCAGCAGGGAAGAAGUAAGUGACGGUACCUGCAGAAGAAGCGACGGCUAAAUACGUG